ACUACACCCACGAACACAAUUACCUCCAUUCUCUCCUCCCAUUCCUCCCUCCAUCCUAUUAUCUCUCCUCCUCCAGGCCCUUCUCCCUAUCUACAGGACCUCCCUCCGCUCCCUUACCUCCCAUGUGUCAGGGUCUCAGGGAUGGUGCCCCUAAAUUGAGGAUCAUCUGUGUUAUUCAUCAUCUAUUCACUUGUGGAGAUUGCCAUUGACAGGAUGCGUCGCGUGGAAGGAAGACUGCUGGCCUUGCUGGUGGUGGUGGUGAUGGUGGUGGUGAUGGGGGGCGAGGAGCAAAUGGAAGGAGGAGGAACAGAAGAAGUUGAGGAAAGAAGCUUAGAAGUGGACAGUGAAAUAGAAGGAAUGGUAGAUGAAACUGACGAAGGAAAGCUAAUAGAAGAAAAAAUAGAAGGAAUUGAAAGAACAGAAGAAAGAGAAAUAGACGGAAAGACAGCAGAAGAGGACGGAAGAGAAGAGGAGGGACAGGGAGAAGAAAAAAGAGAAGCAGACACAAAACUAACAGUGAAAGGAAAGGCAGGGAAAGAAAACCAAGAAAAAGGAGGAGAAACAGACAGAAAAACAACGAAAAAAGAAACGAAACCAAGAAAAACAACGAAAGAAAAACUGGAAGCAAGAGAAACACCAGAGAACAGAAAACAGGAAGGAAAAAACACAAGCAAAAACCAAAUAAAUGAAUGCUCAGAAACCGGGAAAGAAAAAGACAAAGAAGAAAAACAGAGAGAGGAACACGACACCAUAACAUCAACGAACAACUCACACUCGGACACAAACACGAUGAAAGAACCGGAAGACUCAUUCCUCGACUCAAACACCAUUGCACAACCUGAAGAGCAUUCAUUUCUAGAGUCAAACAGCAAAAACACCAAAACAACAAGUAGAAACGAUUUAAUUCCAGACUCACGCACCACAACACCAAAUAUAGACGAUUCAAACCUUUGUCAGUGCGAUUCAGAACGACCGUCCCACAGAUCAAGACGGUUCAUUACCUACACUGGCAUUGGUAUCGGCGCCCUGGCCCUUCUCGUCUUCGCCUUCUUUGUCAAGUACCUCCUCUACUUUACCAUCAGGAAGUACCACGAGGGGGACGCCAGGAUGUUCAAGGAUGAUCUCCACUUCCUCACGUCUCUCAUCACGCACCUGGAGGAGAGUUACUAAGGUUCUAUGAGUCUGUGCCUCGUCUUCACUUGCUGCAGACUCUCGUUGAUGUUAUUGGUAUUUUCAAGGGGUUUUUUUUUUUCGUGAUAUAAGUGAUAGUUAAAGAAAGCAUUGCAUCUUCAACGACUUUUAGUGCAUGUUGUUGAUGUUUUCAGGAAUUUAUUUAUUUAUUUAUUUUUUCUUCUAAGCACCUUCAACAUGACAAGUUGCGGGGUGUUGAGGGGUGUUUUCACGUUUCCAUUGAUAGCUUUAGUCCAUCGUGCAUUCAACAAGCUUCACUGCUGUUUUCAUUGGCGCUUCCAUGAUGCCAAUGCACCCCCAACACGCUCCGGUGGAAGUUGUUGUUGUUUUGUAAGGUGUCUUCGUGAUUCCAGUGGUAAUUAAAUAAGCAUUGCACCUCCAGCAAGCUCUAAUGGGCGCUAUAGGUGUUUUCAAGAUAUUCUGGUGAUUCUAGCGAUAAUUGAAUGGUGAUUCUUCGCUGUCAGUUUGAAAAGAUAGUGAAAACUCGACCAAUCAAUUCCAUGGUCUUUGAAAACAGUCCUGAUGAAAAGAACAGUGUUUAAAAGUACUUUUUUUUUUUUUUAACAAGGCAGUGUUUGCUUAUGAAAAUGUAUCUUAUCACAAGCAGUCUCGUUAAGGUCAAUAGGUCUGAUGCUGCUUGUUCUUCCUUUGUACUCCUUUAUGUAUCUUCAUAUAGAAAGGCAUUAUUGUGGUGAAAGAUUGUGGAUUUAACUCAGUUUUUUGGAAACAGUAAGUUAUAAGUGAUAAAAGACACAGUGAUGGUCAAACUUGCCAAUACUCAGAGGAAACUUGUUAUUGUGGAUCACUGUUGUCUAUUACUCAAAUGAACUGACAUGCAUUUGUUUGUGUUUAUCUGUCUCUUUGUCUAUUUAUUUAUCUUUUAGCGUAAGAAGUAAAGGUACACGUACAA